UGGGGAAUCUUGGACAAUGGGCGCAAGCCUGAUCCAGCCAUGCCGCGUGAGUGAUGAAGGCCCUAGGGUUGUAAAACUCUUUCGUGGGGGACGAUAAUGACGGUACCCCAAGAAGAAGCUCCGGCUAACUUCGUGCCAGCAGCCGCGGUAAUACGAAGGGGGCUAGCGUUGUUCGGAUUUACUGGGCGUAAAGCGCGUGUAGGCGGGCUGGAAAGUUGGGGGUGAAAUCCCGAGGCUCAACCUCGGAACUGGCUCCAAAACUUCCAGCCUGGACUCAAGUAGAGGCAAGUGGAAUUGCGAGUGUAGAGGUGAAAUUCGUAGAUAUUCGCAGGAACACCAGUGGCGAAGGCGACUUGCUGGACUUGUAGUGACGCUGAGACGCGAAAGCGUGGGGAGCAAACAGGAUUAGAUACCCACGUAGUCCCUGAGCGGGCUGGCAAGGCGCAU
rnacentral:rRNA from 1 species